UACGGAGGGUGCAAGCGUUAUCCGGAUUCACUGGGUUUAAAGGGUGCGUAGGUGGAGUGGUAAGUCAGUGGUGAAAUCUCCAAGCUUAACUUGGAAACUGCCGUUGAUACUAUCAUUCUUGAAUAUCGUGGAGGUAAGCGGAAUAUGUCAUGUAGCGGUGAAAUGCUUAGAUAUGACAUAGAACACCGAUUGCGAAGGCAGCUUGCUACACGAUCAUUGACACUGAGGCACGAAAGCGUGGGGAGCAAACAGG
rnacentral:rRNA from 1 species